AGCAGCCGCGGUAAUUCCAGCUCCAAUAGCGUAUAUUAAAGUUGUUGCAGUUAAAAAGCUCGUAGUUGAAUUUCGAGACCGGUUUAUUGGUCGUGCUUUUGUACGUACUGGUAUUAUUGGUUUCUCCUUUCUGACGAAUCUUAAUGCCAUUAAUUUGGUGUUUUGGGGAAUCAGGACUGUUACUUUGAAAAAAUUAGAGUGUUUAAAGCAGGCUCACGCUUGAAUACAUUAGCAUGGAAUAACGGAAUAGGACGUUUGAUUCUAUUUUGUUGGUUUCUAGGAUCGACGUAAUGAUUAAUAGGGAUAGUUGGGGGCAUUAGUAUUCAAUUGUCAGAGGUGAAAUUCUUGGAUUUAUUGAAGACUAACUACUGCGAAAGCAUUUGCCAAGGAUGUUUUCAUUAAUCAAGAACGAAAGUUAGGGGAUCGAAGACGAUCAGAUACCGUCGUAGUCUUAACCGAUAAACUAUGCCGACUAGGGAUCGGAUGAUGUUAAUUUUUAAUGACUCAUUCGGCGCCUUAC
rnacentral:rRNA from 1 species